CCGCGCUUACCUAUGUAGCUAGAGCAGUAAUACGUUUUGAAGAGUUACAACCAGCUGAUAUCUUCCGCAUCUUAUGAUAAAACGUGUUAUAGGCCUGCAGGAAUGGUUGGGGAAAGUAUCCUAUGUGCUUCACUAUGGCAUUCCACACAAUAUAGUUGGCAAGUGUGCUGUUGACAAAACAUACAAUUAGAGAGGAUAUAUAACAACAAACGGGAUGCCCUCAGCUUCUUCAUCGUCUACUCCCCACAUUCAUGUAGCAAGAGCACGUUAUCAUCUUCAGCUGAUUGGAUACACAAGAGCUUGUUUAACGUAUGAUCAUUUUCAAAUCGAGAAGCAGCACGGUGGAGAAGCUAAAGUCAUCCUGUAUGGAAAAGAAUAUUGUACUUGAUGCAGAAAUUAACCGGAAGUCAAUUUGAAACACGAGCAAAGGAUAAUGAACAGAAUCAUUAAAUCCUGAAUCAUCUAGAUUGCUUUAGCGUGUUAAAAAGCUCAUUUCCAUAGUGAUAACAGAAGGCUGCAUGCUAAGGUCAAGCAACAUAUUCAGCAUCAAUUCUUGAUAAGACACCCAAUUCAUUUAUAGGGUUAUGUGAGUGCUACUGAGAAAUAAUGUUAUAGUAAAUAUAUGUAUCACAAAAAUUAUAAAGCUGAAUACCUAAAAACAAUUCAAAUGCUGAAGCGUCUCCAUCAAACGCAUUCUGUAAGUUCAUUGAACUCACCUUUUAGGGGUUUUUGAUAUAAGAGAAUAAAGUCCCUCAAAGGAAUCUGGAUUAUCCACCACCACUUUAAACUCGCUGAAGCUGGACUUGCCAAAUCGUUCCUUCAGAAGAUUGGUGACAUUUAUCUGAGGAAAUUAAAGACACAAUAAACAUCCGAUUCAUCAUCUA